rnacentral:rRNA from 1 species
AACGAACGCUGGCGGCGCGCCUAAUACAUGCAAGUCGAGCGAGAAGACGUAGCAAUACGUUUGUAAAGCGGCGAACGGGUGAGGAAUACAUGGGUAACCUACCCUCGAGUGGGGAAUAACUAGCCGAAAGGUUAGCUAAUACCGCGUACGCUCCUUGGACUUCGGUUCAGGGAGGAAAGCGAUACCGUGGGUAUCGCGCUCUUGGAUGGGCUCAUGUCCUAUCAGCUUGUUGGUGAGGUAGCGGCUCACCAAGGCUUCGACGGGUAGCUGGUCUGAGAGGACGAUCAGCCACACUGGCACUGCGACACGGGCCAGACUCCUACGGGAGGCAGCAGUAAGGAAUAUUGCGCAAUGGGCGAAAGCCUGACGCAGCGACGCCGCGUGGGGGA